rnacentral:rRNA from 1 species
AUACGGAGGAUCCGAGCGUUAUCCGGAUUUAUUGGGUUUAAAGGGUGCGCAGGCGGGAGAUUAAGUCGGCGGUGAAAUUUUGCAGCUCAACUGUAAAAGUGCCUUCGAAACUGGUUUCCUUGAGUGUAGAUGAAGUAGGCGGAAUUUGUGGUGGUGCGGUGAAAGGCAUAGAUAUCACGAGGAACUCCGAUUGCGCAGGCAGCUUACUAAACUACGACUGACGCUCAGGCACGAAGGCGUGGGGAUCAAACAGUAUUAGAUACCCUGGUAGUCCACGCAGUAAACGAUGAUUACUAGCUGUUCGCGAUACAAUGUAAGCGGUUGAGCGAAAGCGUUAAGUAAUCCACCUGGGGAGUAAGUUCGCAAGAAUGAAACUCAAAUGAAUUGACGGGG